rnacentral:rRNA from 1 species
UACGAAGGGUGCAAACGUUGCUCGGAAUUAUUGGGCGUAAAGCGCACGUAGGCGGCUCUAUAAGUCGGAUGUGAAAGCCCUCGGCUCAACCGAGGAAGUGCAUUCGAAACUGCAGAGCUUGAGUAGUUAAGAGGAUCGCGGAAUUCCCGGUGUAGAGGUGAAAUUCGUAGAUAUCGGGAGGAACACCAGUGGCGAAGGCGGCGAUCUGGGAACAUACUGACGCUGAGGUGCGAAAGCGUGGGGAGCAAACAGG